UUGUUUACAGAGGGAGAUGCUAUUUUGCUCAACGGUAGUUGGGAUUCCUUUCUUACUUGAGCCAAUGGUUCUAACUAGAGAGAUCUUUAAGGCAUGGAAUUCUUGUUCUCAAAAAUCCAAAGGUGAGGAGACUGGCGAGCACACUCUAGCAAUGCUUAAGGCAGAGAAAGGAGUAGAAUCACCACUUCACAAUGAGAAAUGGUUGUCUGUCCAGCUAAAGCAAGAACUAGCAUAUGCAGAGGCUUAACGCAGACCUGUACAAGGCUUCUCACAUGGUCAACAAUACAAAGGAAGAGAUACCAUAUUAUUCCGUGCUGGAGUACCAUUCUUGGAAGGAAAGUUUGGGUGCAUGCAAGCUGGCCUGUACCGGCUUAAGCAUUUAGGAAUCACACAACUAACAACUCUAACCAGUGCAAUGUGUCAACUCUUGCUACUGCAUCAAACAUUGAAUUGGAGCUGCAGAUAACUCCGUGGAAUCUAAGUGGCAAUUUUGUUGCAUGUACAACCCAGAAAUCCAAAGGUGAGGAGACUGGCGAGCACACUCUACCAAUGCUCAUGGUAGAGAAAGAAGAACUAGAAUCACCCCUCCACAAUGAGAAAUUGUUGUCUGUCCAGUUAAAGAAAAAACUAGCAUAUGUAGCAGAGGCUUAAAACACAGACCUGCACAAGGAGCUCCAAUCCGUACGCCCUCAACUUGUCUUUGAGCAGUGAAGAUGUUUGGUAUACUUGAAACAAGAGAACAAUGGUAUGUUGGAGAUUCUGAUGGCAACAUCAAGGGUUUUAAGAUUGAACAAGAAGUACGUCAUGUUAUACCAAUGAAAUACACUAUACCUUUCUCAGUUUCCCAUGGAUAUCCAACUGAAGUUUUAGCUGAUAGGGUUGUUAUGUCCAUACUUCCUCAGCCAACAAAUGAAAGUAAAAGUGAUUAUGUUCUCAUGUGUUGCUCAAGUAACUACAGAAUUCUUGUAAUAUUUAGAGAUGGCUUUAUGAUUUUUGUGGGAAAUUUGAGAAAGCAAUGCUACCCGACGGUUUAAACACUGAAAAAUGCCUUGUAACACAUAAUGGAAGAAAAAUAGCUGCUCAAAGUUUGAAAAGACCGUUCCGUAUGCUUUAGUAAUCCCAAGUGGCAGGCUACAGGAGAGAUGGUUAAGUACUAUGAAGGCAGACCUGUUCCUCAAGAUUACAAUGGUGGCUCUAAGGUCAUACAUUCGCACAAGAACUGCACUGAAUGGGCUCCUAAUGUUUAUUUUGAAAAUGAACUCCAGAAGUCGAAAAAUAAAAUGCUCCUGUUACAGACUCAAAGCUGCAGCGUUCGGCUGUUUCGAAAAGAGUUGUCGUAAGAGUUUCCCUGUUCCCUGUGCAAAAUUAGUCUCACAAUGCCAGUGGGAUACUGAUAACUUUGUAAUGUUGUGCCCUCUCCAUGCUUCUUCUAAGUUGCCUAAUGAAAAGUCAGAAUCUCAAGGAAGCAAAAAACAAGUGUUUUAAGAGGACAUUUGCCAGUUCACAACAAGGAAUAUCCUACAAGCGAAGAAGUCAAUAUGCAGAAGAAAAGGAAUCUUUGUGAAUCACGCGACAAAUUGGUUCUCUGUUUCUCGGCUCUCAUAGUUGAAGAAAAUGAAUAUGUUUAUAAUAGGCUUUCAAUUCAGGAUUAUUCUUCAUAAUUUCUCCUAUUUUGUUCCUCCUAUUUUACUUUUAUACAAGGAUUUGUUUACCUGAUAUUGAUACGGCUUCAAGGGUUUAUUAUGAAACAAAUGGUGUAUCCAUGGAAGACAUGUAAAACUAUCUGGUGUUCUCAUGGACUAAUCAAGGGUUCAUUGGUUUACCUUAACUGUCCUGUCCAAUUUAUGUUUAAAUCUACAAAGAUGGAGAUGCUAUUUUGCUCAACGGUAGUUGGGAUUCCUUUCUUACUUGAGCCAAUGGUUCUAACUAGAGAGAUCUUUAAGGCAUGGAAUUCUUGUUCUCAAAAAUCCAAAGGUUAGGAGACUGGCGAGCACACUCUAGCAAUGCUUAAGGCAGAGAAAGGAGUAGAAUCACCACUUCACAAUGAGAAAUGAUUGUCUGUCCAGCUAAAGCAAGAACUAGCAUAUGUAGAGGCUUAACGCAGACCUGUACAAGGCUUCUCACAUGGUCAACAAUACGAUGGAAGAGAUACCAUAUUAUUCCAUGUCGGAGUACCAUUCUUGGAAGGAAAGUUUGGGUGGAUGGUCAUAGUUCGGACAAGUCAAAGCAAAAUACUGUUGAUUUUACUGUUUUUAAAUCCAAAGGUGAGGAGACUGGUGAGCAUACUCUAGCAAUGCUCAAGGCAAAGAAAGAACUAGAAUCACCCCUCCACAAUGAGAAAUUGUUGUCUGUCCAGUUAAAGCAAAACUAACAUAUAGCAGAGGCUUAAAACACAGACCUGC